rnacentral:rRNA from 1 species
UACGUAGGGUCCGAGCGUUGUCCGGAUUUAUUGGGCGUAAAGAGCUCGUAGGCGGUUCCGUAAGUCAGAUGUGAAAACUCAGGGCUCAACCCGGAGACGCCAUCUGAUACUGCGGUGACUGGAGUCUGGUAGGGGAACACGGAAUUCCUGGUGUAGCGGUGAAAUGCGCAGAUAUCAGGAGGAACACCGAUGGCGAAGGCGGUUCUCUGGGCAUGUCCUGACGCUGAGGAGCGAAAGUGUGGGGAGCGAACAGG